rnacentral:rRNA from 1 species
AUGAACGCUAGCGGGAGGCCUAACACAUGCAAGCCGAGCGGUAGAUCUUCUUCGAAGAUUGAGAGCGGCGCACGGGUGCGGAACACGUGUGCAACCUGCCUUUAUCUGGAAGAUAGCCCACCGAAAGGUGGAUUAAUAUUCCAUAAUAUAUUGAUUGGCAUCAGUUAAUAUUGAAAGCUCCGGCGGAUAAAGAUGGGCACGCGCAAGAUUAGAUAGUUGGUGAGGUAACGGCUCACCAAGUCUGCGAUCUUUAGGGGGCCUGAGAGGGUGAUCCCCCACACUGGUACUGAGACACAGACCAGACUCCUACGGGAGGCAGCAGUGAGGAAUAUUGGACAAUGGGUGCAAGCCUGAUCCAGCCAUCCCGCGUGAAGGAUUAAGGUCCUAUGGAUUGUAAACUUCUUUUCUACAGGGAUAAACCUAUUUGCGUGUAAAUAGCUGAAGGUACUGUAGGAAUAAGCACCGGCUAACUCCGUGCCAGCAGCCGCCGUAAUAC